GUAGUCUCGCACAGAUGCAUAUCAAUAAGCGGAGGAAAAGAAACUAACAAGGAUUCCCCUAGUAACGGCGAGUGGAGCGGGAAGAGCUCAAAUUUGAAAUCUUAAAGGGUUUCCCUUUACGAAUUGUAGUUUAAAGAAGUGUUUUCUGUUGAGGUUUUGGUAAAAGUUCUUUGGAAUAGGACAUCAUAGAGGGUGAGAAUCCCGUAUUUGACCUUUACUUUCAACUUUGUGAUACACUUUCAAAGAGUCGGAUUGUUUGGGAAUGCAGUCCAAAAUGGGUGGUAAAUUUCAUCUAAGGCUAAAUAUUGGCGAGAGACCGAUAGCGAACAAGUACCGUGAGGGAAAGAUGAAAAGAACUUUGAAAAGAGAGUUAAACAGUACGUGAAAUUGUCAAAAGGGAAGCGUUUGACACCAGUGUUGUUUUUCUGAAAAUCAAUUAAAGAACUGUUUUAUGCUAAGUUGUUUAGACUUUAUCAGCUAACUGUUUAGUUUUGAGCUUUUCUUUAAUGCACUUUCCAGUUAACAAGUCAACAUCAAUUUCUUUUGCUGUAAAAAAGCUUGAGGAAGGUGGCUUGAGAUUCGUCUUAAGUGUUUAUAGCCUCUUGCCUAUGCAGUCGGAGAGAUUGAGGUCUGCAGCGUAGAUCCUUCGGGGCUAAAUGCAUUUGUGCUAAGUUAUAGCAUUUUAUAGACAACUUGUUGACUAUGAUUUGUCUUGUAGCUUACUCGCUUAUGUUAUUUUACCUACGCUUAGGAUGUUGAUCUGUAGUGCGUGCGC
rnacentral:rRNA from 1 species